CAAUAGCGUAUAUUUAAGUUGUUGCAGUUAAAAAGCUCGUAGUUGGAUUCGGUUGAGAACGGCCGGUCCGCCGUUUGGUGUGCACUGGCUGGUUUCAACUUCCUGUAGAGGACGCGCUCUGGCUUCACGGCUGGACGCGGAGUCUACGUGGUUACUUUGAAAAAAUUAGAGUGUUCAAAGCGGGCUUACGCUUGAAUAUUUCAGCAUGGAAUAACACUAUAGGACUCCUGUCCUAUUUCGUUGGUCUCGGGACGGGAGUAAUGAUUAAGAGGAACAGUUGGGGGCAUUCGUAUUUCAUUGUCAGAGGUGAAAUUCUUGGAUUUAUGAAAGACGAACUUCUGCGAAAGCAUUUGCCAAGGAUGUUUUCAUUAA
rnacentral:rRNA from 1 species